UCGCCGCUCCCCGGCGACCGCGCUCCGUUCUCCCUUCCCCGCUCCGCCCCGGCGUUGAUCUCCACGCGCUGCGGACGGGCCCCCGCGACCGACACCCGCUUUCGUGGCUCCGCAGAGCGCCGGCCGCCGUUUCUACGGAACCGGGAUACUCCGGUGGUCGCGCAUAGGCGGGGGGCGGGCGCCGGCCAGCACACCUGAAAGCUGGGGACGCGCCGCUGCAGCGGCCCGGGGGCCAACAGCGCGCCUCACGGGCGGGAACUGCGCUCCUGGGAACGAACGUCUCCCGGAACUCCGGCGGGCUCUUCAGCGGCUAGAGCGGUGCUGUGCGGCCUCUCGAUGCGCGGCUGUCUUUUAAGAGGUGGUGGCCGCCUUCGAAAAAGGCCGCGCCGCGCCGGCCACACUUCUCGGGUUAACCUUGGAGCACUUUCGUGACCCCGUCCUGAAGCUGUAGGUGUUACGGAGACCUCUGGAGGGGAAACUCCCCAAUUCGGCCCUUCCCCCUUGCAGAAAAAGUGGCAAGAACCAAGCCGGGGCCGUGGAUUGUGUCACGAGGGGGAGGAUUCUGGGCAGGAAAGGGAGCGAGCUGGCAGCAGACAACUCCGUGGCCUCACCAGCCCCAUCCGUGUGCUUUCACUAUCUGGCAGAGGUGGAAUACAGGAGAUUUUGGGGACUUCACCAUUUCUUCCACCCAGCUGGCAGGAGCCCAGCAGGGGAUUAGAUGCUCUGAAGUUUGCACUUCUAGAGACUUGCUCUAAUAGGAGUAUGCUAUCACAUUCCAGACCAGAAUGCAGUGUGAUGGGGAAUGAAAUCAUGGAGGCCUCCAACAAAGGCAGUACUGUAAUAAUGGAUGACUUCAACACAUUGACUGGAUGAAAGUAUGUUCCAGCUCCAACACAGAUAUUAAAUUUCUUGAUGUCCUAAA